ensembl:lncRNA novel transcript
AUUGAGUCAUUGACAGGAUGUGAAAGGAGCAGGGUGAGGAGAGAGGUUGGAAGUGAAGUUAUAUCAGAGUUGUAUCAGCCCUAAAGGGGAUUGGGCAGUGCACCAGAAGAAUCUACCACAUUCCCGAGGUUUACUUCAAGAUGCAAUUGGGCCUGCCUGUCAAGCCUUUGCAGUAAACAUGUCAAAUCCAAGAUGGGUGUUCCUGAUCUGCCUGUAGCUCUCCUCCAACCCAGACUCCUUUCAAACUGUGCCUCCACCAUCUUCAAUAUGGAGCUUCCAAGAUUGCCCUGCUGCCCUGCAUCAAGCCUGCAAAAGAGGAUAGGGGGUCAGGCCACUCAUAUUUCAUUGGCCCAAAUUCAGUCACAUGGCCACACUCACUGCAAGGGAAGCUGGGAAAUGGAGUCUAGCUCUGUGCCCAAGAAGCAAAGAAAAACAGAUUUGAUGAAGACUUAGUCAAUCUCUGCAACAAUGAAACAGAUAAGAAGGCAAAAGAAAAAGAAUUUUACAACCUGAGGAGGGAGAGAAAAUUCAGUUAACAAAAAGAUAGACUACAUGCCAAGGUAGUCUGCAGAAUUCUACCUACCCAAAUUAUGUGUUAAAUUGUGAAAGAAGUUAUGAUAAAAAUAGGAUGAGGGUGAAAUUUGAAAAAUGCUCUGGGGACACAUAGCACACUCCUUCCCUGGUGACACAGUAGGCAGAACCAAGCCAACUAUAAAAGGAAGCUCAGUGUGUUUAAUCUGUUGCUCGGAUAAAACCAUCCUGGAAAAACUCCCAGUUUUACAAUCUAACUGAUCAUCAGUAUCUCAGUUAUACAAAUAACUCCAGCCUGCAUGAAAUACCUUCUUGCUCCCCUUGACUUGUAAAAAUAACUUUGUUUCAAUGGAAAAGGUGUAGAAAAUGGACGUUGAAGCCAAUCAAACUCAUAGUAUCAAUACUUUGUGUUAAGCUUUAGGAGUAAGUUUUGUAAUCAUUGCAAUCAGCUUGUUUUUGUUAUUUAAGCAGCUUAAAAUGAUUAAGAUAAUCUGACAUAUUAGCCUUACGAUUUUAUUUUGGAAUGAUAAACUAAUACUCAAUUUGUAAUUUUCACUUGAAAGUUGCAGAAUAAUUGAAUAUGUUCUUUAAAAGUGUUUGAAUAUUCAGAAGAAUCUAAUUUACUACAUGUAUAAACUAGUAUUAUUACAAGAGUUCAUUGAGAUAUUGAAGGAUUUUUCUUGCUUUGUUUGUAAAUGUUGCCCCAUCAGGCAUUUGAAGUGUUUGAGAAAGUCAAAGUUAUUAAAUUUGUAAAGAUAGUUAAAAAUAUUUUAGGAAAUCUUUUUACAUGUAUAAAGAUGGUCAGUUUGAAGAAAUUUAAUGUUUUUAAGUUUGUAAGUUGAUUGAACACUAAUCAAACAAGAAAAGCAAUUGUUCUCAUUUUUAUAUAAAAAUCACUAUAUUUACAAAUAAAAUAACCAGGUUUAUAGACUAA